UACGAUGGGGUCUUCAUCUGGAAGAUCUCAGACUUCGCCAGGAAGCGCCAGGAAGCUGUGGCUGGCCGCAUACCCGCCAUCUUCUCCCCAGCUGCUGGCUCAGCCGAUUGUAUAUGCUGGGAGCUCUGCACUAAGCGUUGGGUGAAGGGUCAGCAUUGUGGAGGCCCUGCCACGGAGGUGGUCUUCUUGGGAGCUGCACUCAGCCUUCUACACCAGCAGGUACGGCUACAAGA
rnacentral:lncRNA from 1 species